rnacentral:misc_RNA from 1 species
CCUUAAACGAGACCUAUCGGCUGGUUAUAAGGCUGAAGGAGCAAUCCUUCAAACCCAAAUGAUUGCCUGACCAAGUCCGAACAUCUCAGGUCGAUCGAAGUUUAUGAUGUGGCUUUCAAACUACUUCUGGUUUUUUCCUUCAGUUAGCAUCUAACUAUGAACGUUAAAUUGCACUAACUGAAGUUAACUUACAGAACUUAUUCGGUAGUGGCAGUAAACUUCAACUAAAGAACUUACUAACACUCACUCCAAAACUCUAAAUUUCAGCAACUUAUCUAACUAAUCUUGUGUUAGAUUGAGAGCCUGCUGGGAUUGACCAGCGAGAACCUUGAAAACUGCAUAGAAACUUGUCAGGUAGUUAGUGACGACAGAAGUUUACUUCUGGAGAUUACUAAUACAUAGACACCAAUGAAUUUUUGUUAG